AUGUCCACACGCGCCCGGCUCUGCAUCCGCGAGGUGGCGCGGGAGCUUGAGGAAGACAUGGAGCUCGGAGCCGAAGGGGAUCUCAACGCCGCCGCGCCCUCCACUGCUAGCUUCCCACCGCCGCGCCCUCCACAGCUAGCUUCCCGCCGCCGUGCUCUCUCUCUCGCCGUGGUCACCGCCGUGCUCUCUGUCGCCGUGGUCACCGCCGCUGUCGCCCGCUUAUAUAGCACACCCGCCAACGGCUCUCUGCUCAACGGCUCUUUGCUGGGUCCCACAAGCCACGCGUGCAACGGUCUGAAUAAAAUUGGCCGCUUCUGCCGCCUGGUCCCACCUCCGGCGCUCCCUGGUAAGGCCGCCCCCCUGCCCUUCGUCACCCCGCCGGCGAACACACCCCCCCUGCUCCACCCUGCUCCUUCUUUGGAUCCGGUCGCAGGAGUGCUCGAGGAGGCGCUCGAGCUUGGCAUGCUCGUCGGCGACGCCGGGUCCCUACCGCACAUGCCGGACUGCCGACCUCUCGCCGGCGAUGCGACCUCCCAGGCGGGACGGCCGUGGCCACUGGCCAUGGCCAUGGAGGAGGUGGAAGUUCCUGUCCCCACGGAGAAGCUCUCCACUGAUUCAAAUAUUUAUCCUUAUCCACCAUCCGUUCAUUUAUUCAACUGGAUGACCGCAGGGACGGGGGAAGGCAAGGUGAUGUGGUGUUGGUGGCCACCGGGAGCUUCAACCUCCCACCUACAUGCACAGAGCUUGCGAAGGAUGAGUUGCAGCAGCGAGGGUAGUUGGUGCUGGAUGGAUACUGGAUACAUGUCCCCGGUGAACGAUGCUAACAAGAAGAAGUACAUGCGUACCAUUGGAUUUUCGCUGUCACAUAAGGCAAUGCAGAAAGGAAGUGUCAAGGUAAUGCUGCUAUGUGGUUCUGACCUGCUUGAGUCAUUCAGCAAGCGAGGGGUUUGGAUUCCAGAUCAGAACCAUUGUGUUGGUGGUCAUGUUGAUGGAACUUGA
rnacentral:rRNA from 1 species